GCCAGCUUGGGACAGUGGGUUGAGCGUUGGACUAUGACUCUAGAGACUAGGGUUCGAAUCCCAACUCAGCCA